GGGCCCGCACAAGCGGUGGAGCAUGUGGUUUAAUUCGAAGCAACGCGAAGAACCUUACCAAGAAUUGACAUCUCCCUUUAACCUUAGGAAACUAGGGAAGACUUCGGUCGAGGGAAGACAGGUGGUGCAUGGUUGUCGUCAGCUCGUUUCGUGAGAUGUUGGGUUAAGUCCCGCAACGAGCGCAACCCUUAUUGUUAGUAACCAGCGAGUUAAGUCGGGGACACUAGCGAGACUGCCGUGGAUAACACGGAGGAAGGUGGGGACGACGUCAAAUCAUCAUGCCCCUUAUAACUUGGGCUACACACGUGCUACAAUGGGAGUUACAAAGUGAAGCGAGACGGUGACGUUAAGCGAAUCACAAAAAGGCUCUCUCAGUUCGGAUUGUAGUCUGCAACUCGACUACAUGAAGCUGGAAUCGCUAGUAAUCGCAAAUCAGCAUGUUG
rnacentral:rRNA from 1 species